UCAUUACUUUGCUCUGUCAUGGCAGAUGUGCUGAUUUUCCUGACACUUUAGGAGGUGGUAUAUAAUAGCAAACUUCUGUUCUUCAAAGGUUUAGUAUUCGUUUUUUAGUGAAUCUACCCAGAGUUGAGCUUCUUCUGUAGAGAAACUUUUCUUCUUUGCUGCUUCUGAUUAUAUUUUGUUUUUUUCUCCUUAAAAAAAGACUUUCCAUUUCCUUUCCUCAGACCUUUUGUAACUCUACUUUGCUAGCACAACAUACAAGGGAUAUUUUCUAUUAUUGAUCCUUCCAUGCUGCAGUGCUGUUGAAGAACUACUAUGAGGUGAUACAAACACUUGAAAGGAUUUACAAACCAGGAGAAGGAAGUGUCUGGGCGGCUGAAGGGAAGAAAAGAGAGAGAAAAUUGAUGACAGACACACAAGGGUGCGUACAGGUGGAGUUGAGACAUUGCUGCCUCUCCUUGUCCUUCAAACUAUACAGAACAUUGGCAAUGUAUAACUAACUAUCAGUGCAUCUAGGUGCUACAAGUAAGAAGUGGCUACUUUAUCCCAUUCUAAAAAGUGUAGCUGAAAUGGAGCACAAUGUCAAACAGAUUUGUCAGUCCUUCCAUUUAAUUUUUGCAAAAGAAAGAAAGAAAGAAAGAUUGGU